AUGCGUCGGGUGUCAAGGUACUUAGCGAUUCCGAAGACAGCAGUAGUGGAAGGGCCACCCGAACUCGGCAAGAGGCAGAAGACAAAGCAGAGUGCUCAUGCUCAGGGACGUUGCAACAACAGCAGCAGCCGGAAGUGCACGCGGAAGGAAGGGCCAGUCCCAGGCCGGAUACAGGGAGCAGCAGUGGAGGUCACAAAGGUGAGCUCAUGGCUAGCAGCAACAACAAGGCGAGGAACGGGACAGAGCUGGCGUGUUCGAGGUGGAGGUCACCGGAUCCCGUGA
rnacentral:rRNA from 1 species